rnacentral:lncRNA from 1 species
UGACACUCCUUCCCUCUUGCUCUCUUCAGAGCAAGAAAUACCCCUUCCAGAUUCAGCCUUACCCCCUUUGAGAUCUUAUAUGGGGCCUCAGCUCCCCUGACUGUAUUAGAUGAUGUUACUGAACCAACAUGUCAUAGUAAUAAUGAUUUGUGUGCCAGGCUAAAAGACCUACAGGUGAUACAGAAAGAAAUCUGCUCACAGCUGACAGCAGCCUAUGCCCCGGAGACCCCUGAGACAUCCCAUCAGUUCCAGGUCGGAAGCAGCUACACUGAGCCCAGACACUCGAUCCUCGCUGGAAAGGACCAUACCUGGUGCUGCUGACCACCCUGACAGCCGUCAAUUCUCAGCCCUCACCAGCCGUGUACUAGCUGUUAGGGCUGAGAGCUGGGACCUAGAGAGAAAUUCAGUCAUGUUUGUCCUGGGUUCCAUCGAGAUAGGUGUGGGGAUAGGCUUGAUUUCUAUUACAAAUGAUGUAACAUUACAUAUGUUAGUACUCCUAACACUUCUUGGGACUGUGCCUCAGGGAUCACAACCUAUAUAAGUUUAGAAGUUCUGAAAGACAGUCAUGACCUUGGUGUAUAGGUUCAGAUAGUGUCCAGAUUAGAAUCCUGAUGCUAAAGACUUAGUAAGAGACAAAAAAAAGGAGUUGAGAAUUACUUAGGGCUAGGGCUAUCUAGGUGCUACAAGGGCAGCACAAGGACAUCUGCUGUUGCCCUACAAUACAAGGCUUAUAGAGAAUUCAGAACUGCCAUGGACUCAGAUAUAAAAAGAGUAAAAGACUUUUUAGCUGACCUCCAAGAAUACCUAACCUCCCUCUCAGAGGUAGUCCUUCAAAAUAGAAAAAGAUUAGACCUGAUAUUCCUUAAAGAAGGAGUCUGUGUGCUAUACUAAAAGAAAAAUGUUGCUUCUAUACAGACCAUUCAGGAGUAAUUAAAGACUCCAUAAAUAAACUUAAAAAACGGUUAGACAAAAGACAGACAGAAAAACACAUCAGAGAUAGUUCGAGAGCUAGUUUAGUAGAUCUCCCUGGAUGACUACCCUACUCUCUGCUACAGGUGGGCCAUUAUUAAUAAUUUUCUUGGUUUUAGUUUUCAGCUCCUGCGUGACAAACAGGUUAAUUACUUUUGUUAAAAAUCGAGUGGGUGCUGUGCGGUUGAUGUUGUGAGACAACAGUACCAGUCAGUUAGGACAACUGGUGAGACCAAAUACGAGACUUGAUAUCAAAAUUCUAAGAUUAGAAUUAUUUAGUAGGAGAAGACGGGAAUGAAAAGAAAAUUAUACGAAUUCUAGGUUUAAAAAUAUAAAAUUAAAAGAGUUAGCCCCAAAAGCCACAAACUCAGGGCUAAGCCCUGC